rnacentral:lncRNA from 1 species
CUAUUACUGGAUACUUGGACACGCUCGACUGGAUCUAGGUCGUAUAAAUUGCUCAGUACCGUACGUCCGCGACCUCUCCGCGUCUGACCAGUUUCAUCUGAAAAAUAAAAGUAUUGUCAUAUACGAAAGUUAAAAAAAAAACAAACAAGAAGUCAACACACAUGUAAAUUAAAUGUUAAAUUACUUUGAACUUCUAUAGGUUCCUCAGGUGUAACCGGAACAUUCGAAGAUCCAAUAGCAGUCUGUUGUUCAGUGCUAUUUGUUUCCGCCGAGUUUGGAGUACCUUGAACAAUGCGGUGCGAUCGCA